UGAACAAGGUCUCCGUUGGUGAACCAGCGGAGGGAUCAUUA
rnacentral:rRNA from 1 species